rnacentral:rRNA from 1 species
GACGAACGCUGGCGGCGUGCUUAACACAUGCAAGUCGAACGGAGUGGCGAACGGGUGAGUAACACGUGGGUGACCUUCCCUGCACUUCGGGAUGAGCCUGGGAAACUGGGUCUAAUACCGGAUAGUGUGGGAUGGGCUCGGGGCCUAUCAGCUUGUUGGUGGGGUAAUGGCUUACCAAGGCGGCGACGGGUAGCCGGCCUGAGAGGGUGGACGGCCACAUUGGGACUGAGGCACGGCCCAGGGGGGUACGGGGGGCAGCGGGGGGGAAUAUUGCACAAUAGGCGGAAGCGUGAUGCAGCGACGCCGCGUUGGGGAUGACGGCCUACGGGUUGUGAACGCCUUUCAGCAUCUACGCGGUAGAUGAAGAAGAAGCACCGGCUAACUACGUGCCAGCAGCCGCGGUAAUAC